rnacentral:rRNA from 1 species
UACGUAGGGUGCGAGCGUUAAUCGGAAUUACUGGGCGUAAAGGGUGCGCAGGCGGUUUUGUAAGACAGAUGUGAAAUCCCCGGGCUUAACCUGGGAACUGCGUUUGUGACUGCAAGGCUAGAGUACGGCAGAGGGGGGUGGAAUUCCGCGUGUAGCAGUGAAAUGCGUAGAUAUGCGGAGGAACACCGAUGGCGAAGGCAACCCCCUGGGCCUGUACUGACGCUCAUGCACGAAAGCGUGGGGAGCAAACAGGAUUAGAUACCCUGGUAGUCCACGCCCUAAACGAUGUCAACUAGUCGUUCGGAGCAGCAAUGCACUGAGUGACGCAGCUAACGCGUGAAGUUGACCGCCUGGGGAGUACGGCCGCAAGGUUAAA